CGACCCCAGGUCAGGCGGGACUACCCGCUGAGUUUAAGCAUAUCAAUAAGCGGAGGAGAAGAAACUUACAAGGAUUCCCCUAGUAACGGCGAGCGAACCGGGAUCAGCCCAGCUUGAGAAUCGAGCGGCACCGUCGUUCGAAUUGUAGUCUGUAGAAGCGUCCUCAGCGACGGACCGGGCCCAAGUCCCCUGGAAGGGGGCGCC
rnacentral:rRNA from 1 species